CCUUCGGUGCUUGGCCCCUAAAUAUAGCUGCAAGCAGCAAUUACGGGGCCAAGCACUCCAACGGCAAAUGUAGGAGCUAAGCAUGGCAUGGAGCAUCACACCAAAUGCAUUAAUGAGCAAUAACAGCAAUUUUAGGAUUAUUGUAAUUGAAAUGGCUAAAAAAAUCAUAAAUACAACCUCUAGUAGCAUGAUUUACUGGCUUAUCAAAAUUGACCAAUAGGUGGUGCUGUUAUCAAGUCAAUUUGGUGUACUCUGUGUGACUUUUCAAUGACACAAACAAAGUUUGGUGUCAAUAUGCCAAAGCAUUGCAGAGAUACAGCCUCAAGUGUCAUUUUGUCAUUGUGCCUCAAGUUCGUCGCUGUGGUAUGCAAAAACGGUUUUGUCUAUCGACACAAAAUUCAUAACUUUUUGUCAGCACAGUCUGAAGAUCAUCUGAUUAAAUUUUGGUGAAAAUUGGACUAACGGCUGAUGAGGAGUUCAAAAAGUAGGUUUUCAACAUAAAUCAAAAUGGCGGACCGGAAGUUCAGCUUACUAUGGUAUAUUUGGUAUCUAUGUUAUCGGCAUAAACCAGGGAAUAUUUUGAGCCCAGUUCCAUUCGAAUGGGCUAAUGCAAUAAAAAGUUAUUAGCAUUUUUACAAGUGUAAUUAUUCAUGGUUAAUGAAUGGUUUAUUACUCUUGACCAAUAGGUGGCGCUGUCACCAAAUUUCUGUGGCAUGGUCAGUGUGAGGUGGCGAUGACACAUACAAAAUUUGGUGCAAAUAUGUCAAAGCGUUGCAGAGAUACAGCCUCAAAUGCAUUUUGGCACCCUUCCAGCAAAUUCGUUGAUGCGCUAAAUGAGAACUGUUUCGUAUAUCGACACGAAAUCCAUAACUUUUUGCCAGCAUGGUCUGAAGAUGAUUCACGUCAAAUUUGGUGAAAAUUGGACUAACGGUCUAGGAGGAGUUCGAAAAAGUAGGUUUUCAACAUUAAGCAAAAUGGCGGACAGGAAGUAUGGCCAAUUUUCACAUAAUUGGUAUCAAUGCUCUCGGCAUGACCCACAGAAUAUAGUGAGACCAUUUUAAUUUUAAUAGUCUAAAUUAUUCAAAAGUUAUUAGCAUUUAUGUGAUAUUUCAUUAUAACUAUUGGCCACAAGGUGGCGCUGCCACCAAACUUUUUGAGUACCUUCAGGGCAUGGAGCCGAAUAUUUUUGUAAUUAUUUGCGAAACGAUACGAUGCUGCGUUCAAAAAAUACAGCAUUUUAACUCAUAAUUCAAAAUGGCCGACGCCUAAAAUGGCCGACACGGGAAAAUUGGAUAUCAUUCGACUCGAGAUGACUCACUGAAUCUAAAGAGACCAGUUGUGUGAUUUUUGGCCAAACCAUUCAGAAGUUAUAAGCCAAAAUAUGCAUUUUUCAUAUCUCCUGACCACUAGGUGGCGCUGUGUCGAAACACUGCAGGUAGUCUCAGUUCAUGCUUGUUAAAACACACACCAAGUUUGGUCUCAAUAUGACAAACUGUUGCCGAGAUAUAGCCUCACGUGCAUUUUUGCGUGCAUUUCGUCAAAUUAGUUUACGUGUCAUUCGACAACGGUUGGACGAAUCAACUUGAAUUCCAUAACUUUUUGCCGGCCUGGUCUGAAGAUGAUCUGAGACAAUUUUCGUGGCAAUCGGACUAACCGUCUAGGACGAGUUCGAAAAAGUAGGUUUUUCGAAUAAUUGAAAAUAACGAAAAAACUAAACCUUGCGAUUUUUGAAUUUCGGGAUUCAUUCGACUUGGCUUAAGCCAAGGAUUCAGAGGAAAAAAGAAUUUCCAUUUUCUGGCUUACGGUUCAAAAGUUAUUAGCAUAUAAACAUUGAAAGUUUGGACAAGUGGUGGCGCUAGAGAGUUGGAGUUAGAGACUUCAAAUUUGCUAUAGUUAAUGUUGGGACUGUCCUCUAUCAGUGUGCCAAAUUAUACAACUUUCCCGCAAUCGGUUCUAUGGGCUGCCAUAGACUUGCGGCGGAAGAAGAAGAAGAAGAAGAAGAAGCAGAAUAAUAAUAACGCCAACAGAAACAAUAGGUGCCUCGCACCUUCGGUGCUUGGCCCCUAAUAAUAACGCCAACGAACACAAUAGGUGCCUUCGCACCUUCGGUGCUUGGCCCCUAAUAAUAACGCCAACGAUUACAAUAGGUGCCUACGCACCUUCGGUGCUUGGCCCCUAAAUAUAGCUGCAAGCAGCAAUCACGGGGCCAAGCAUUCCAGCGGCAACAUCAGGAGCUAAGCAUAUGUAGCAUCAGACCAAAUGCAACAAUGAAUAAUGAAAUUAAUAAUUGCAUGAUUGUAAUUGAAAUGGCUGAAAUCGUUAAUAAAAGUUCCACAGCGAGGAGCUAAGCAUGGCAUGGAGCAUCAGACCAAAUGCAACGACUAAGAAAAGCAAUUAUUGGAAGAGUGUAAUUGAAACAGCCAGUAAAACUCCAGUAAAAUGAUGCAUUAUCAUUUUUGGAAAAUAGGUGGCGCUGUAAUCAAAUCGCUUUGUUGUGUUCUGUGGGAGGUGACAAUGUUGUGGGCAAUUUCUUUCAAAAUACUUACAGACCUUUAGGGCAAUGAGUCGAACAUGCCCACCGAGUUUCGUUCCGAUCGACUUCCAUUAACCUUGUCAAAUAGGUGCUUAAAGUUGUUUGGCCAACGGCGGCCAUGUUUUUUAAGAUAAGUGAAAUUGCUCAUAGAGCACUUGUGCCACAUUGGGCCAUAUCAAUUUUCAAGUUGAUUGGAUCAACGGUUGCUUAGUUAUAGCCAUUUGAUUUUUUUUCAUCCUGUAGCGCCACCAAGUGGCAGAUAUGGAAAAAAUAAUAAUAAUUUGACUAAAGUUUUUGUUCAUGCAUAUGAGUUCUGAGUUUGGUGAAGAUAUCUCAUUUUGUUCCCGAGUUAUAGCCUUUUUCGUAAAAUUGGUCCACGAAUUUGAAUGUUUUGGGUCACCUGGUUUUUUGUUCAGUCUUGAUCAAACCACUGCAAUAAUAUUCUCUGGACUCUCUAGAUCAAUAAUUUUCAAAAAUAUGUUGCAUUUUGCCCUUUGGUUAGCUAUAAGAGGUCAUUUAGGA